rnacentral:lncRNA from 1 species
AAAUUGAAGUACAGUACACCAUUUUAUAGAUCUAAUCACCGUCUAGAAACAUUCUAGAAUGGUGGAAUCGUUGACAGCUUAUAAUGGACUAAAAGACAAGAAAAGAAAUAACAAACUUCUAGCAAAAGACAAAAUACAAAGAGAACGACAAUAUGUAAAAUGACACAGCUGCAAAUCCUACCAGAAAGGUCUUCUAGAAGCACAAGCUUGGCCUUUCUCCCCAGCAAACCACUCACCAUUUUCAGGAUUCCUCCUACAGUUGCUAGGGUUAUGACAUGACAUUUUAGAUUCCAAAGAGGCUAAAAAGCCAAAAUUACAUCAAAAGGUGAGGGUUUGUUUUCACUAUUAUCAAACCAACUCAUAAAGAAGAAAUUUCAAAUGGGUUUUACAGACCAACUAAUGGGUCACUCAAUCAUAAACUAACCUAAAAUGAACAACAUAUAAAACUAAAAGACUAAAAAUUAUACAAACCCAAAAGAUUACAAAGUCCAUCUAGACAAGAAACCAUAAUAUUUCUCAUCUAAUAAUAUCAAAUUUUUAUUUAUAGAUGACUUUGCAGCAGCCGUCAUCGCCACCAUCGUAAACAGUCACCGUCGCUACUGCCCCCACUAGUUUUGGGCUCUCCAUCCAUUAUACACAACAUCUUCUAGGUCGUUGUUCAUCUUUAAUGAUUUCAUCUUCAUAACAUAUAGAAGAAGAUGUUAAUCUUUAGAGCCACCAUAUGAACUAAUAAAUCUAGAAAAAAUCUAGACUUUCUCUACUAAGAGAGAUGUAAGAGGAGAUAAAUCAAAGAAACUCCUACAAAAGAGCCAUAAUGGCUAGAUCAAAACAAGAAACAUGAUAGAAAUAGAAAAACUACCAAAUAUAAAAGGAAAGGAAGGUUGCUGCCAUUGACAACCGUGCAAGACGUCGGUGGCUGCAAGAGAAAAGUUAAAAAAAAAAGCUCUAGUUUUCUAGAGAAAAGGGAGAGAAUCUUUAGAGAGAGAAAAAGCUUUUCAGAUGUUUUAGUCAUUCUAAAAGAACAAUAGGUUAAAAACAUUAAAACCUCGACCAUGAUCAGAUCUGACUGAAUAUCAACCUUAACAUAGAGCAACAACAAAAGGACUACUACAUCUUAUGAUCGGCUGCUGGAAUGGAAUGGCGAUGAAAGCACCCUUGUUCAGGCCAUAAAAGACGCAAAAUACUAGUAUGUAAUUAUUGUCACGAUGUAUAACCAAAGACGAGGAGUAGAGCUUUAAUGCCUCAUAAUCAAGAUUCUCAUCCUUUGAUAUUACCACCACCAUA